GGACGAACGCUGGCGGCGUGCUUAACACAUGCAAGUCGAGCGGUAAGGCCCUUUCGGGGGUACACGAGCGGCGAACGGGUGAGUAACACGUGGGUGACCUGCCCUCAGCUCUGGGAUAAGCCUGGGAAACCGGGUCUAAUACUGGAUAUGACUCCAUGACGCAUGUUGUGGGUGAAAGCCUUGUGCGGCUGAGGAUGGGCCCGCGGCCUAUCAGC
rnacentral:rRNA from 1 species